UUUAUUGGAGAGUUUGAUCCUGGCUCAGGAUGAACGCUGGCGGCGUGCCUAAUACAUGCAAGUCGAGCGAAUGGAUUAAGAGCUUGCUCUUAUGAAGUUAGCGGCGGACGGGUGAGUAACACGUGGGUAACCUGCCCAUAAGACUGGGAUAACUCCGGGAAACCGGGGCUAAUACCGGAUAACAUUUUGAACCGCAUGGUUCGAAAUUGAAAGGCGGCUUCGGCUGUCACUUAUGGAUGGACCCGCGUCGCAUUAGCUAGUUGGUGAGGUAACGGCUCACCAAGGCAACGAUGCGUAGCCGACCUGAGAGGGUGAUCGGCCACACUGGGACUGAGACACGGCCCAGACUCCUACGGGAGGCAGCAGUAGGGAAUCUUCC
rnacentral:rRNA from 2 species